rnacentral:lncRNA from 1 species
UUUUUUUUUUACAAAAAUGGGAAGGAGUUUCAAGAAAACAUGGCAGGUUGCUUCACUACCAAAAACCAACUGUAAGAAAAAAUAUAACAGCAAUGGGGAAAAUAAAAGACAGAAAGACUCCUGAGCUUGUUCUGGCUUUGAACAGACGCAUUUAAGGAUAAGAAAAAUUCAUCAGUGAUCAAAUUUUGAAAGAGAUGAAAGAUAACCUUUGGAUGCAGACUCUUGCUCAGAAGAGAUGUUGUUUUUGAUAUUUUUCAUUCAUGCGGUGGAUGCAUAUUUAAAGUGUCGGACCAAGUUAUCAUCAACUGCUUUUCACACACAGACGGUGACAGACCUAAAUGUUUUUUUACAAUCACUCAAGCUCUCUCUCCACU